rnacentral:rRNA from 1 species
CCUACGGGUUGCAGCAGUGAGGAAUAUUGCGCAAUGGGGGCAACCCUGACGCAGCGACGCCGCGUGGAUGAUGAAGGUCUUCGGGUUGUAAAAUCCUGUCAGAUGGGAAGAAGUGGUAGGUGGUCAAUAUCCAUGUACUUUGACGGUACCAUCAAAGGAAGCACCGGCUAACUCCGUGCCAGCAGCCGCGGUAAUACGGAGGGUGCAAGCGUUGUUCGGAAUUACUGGGCGUAAAGCGCGCGUAGGCGGCUAUUUAAGUCAGAUGUGAAAGCCCGCGGCUCAACCGUGGAAGUGCAUUUGAAACUGGGUAGCUUGAGUACUGGAGGGGGUAGUGGAAUUCCCGGUGUAGAGGUGAAAUUCGUAGAUAUCGGGAGGAAUACCGGUGGCGAAGGCGACUACCUGGCCAGAUACUGACGCUGAGGUGCGAAAGCGUGGGGAGCAAACAGGAUUAGAUACCCUAGUAGUC